UACGUAGGGCGCAAGCGUUGUUCGGAAUUACUGGGCGUAAAGGGCUCGUAGGUGGCCAACUAAGUCCGACGUGAAAUCCCUAGGCUCAACCUAGGAACUGCGUCGGAUACUGGAUGGCUUGAAUUCGGGAGAGGGAUGCAGAAUUCCAGGUGUAGCGGUGAAAUGCGUAGAUAUCUGGAGGAAUACCGGUGGCGAAGGCGGCAUCCUGGACCGACAUUGACGCUGAGGAGCGAAAGCUAGGGGAGCGAACAGG
rnacentral:rRNA from 1 species